rnacentral:misc_RNA from 1 species
GCUUGGGAAGGCUGACAUUAAAGACAUUUUGGAACGUGCUGCAGAUAUAUAUAAUAACUUUACAAAUGAAAGUUUAAUGAAGUCAAAAAGACAGGCUUGUGAAUCAGUAAAGAAAGUUGAUUACAUGACAGUGUACACAUCUAAUCUUGUGAAGGCAGUCCGUAAAGCUGCAGGAAAUAUAGAGAAGCCAUUGGAGGGGUUCCAUAUAAUUGUUGAUGCAGGAAAUGGAGCAGGAGGAUUUUUUGCUGUAAGUUUUAUUCACUUUUUUGUAUAGAGAUUGAUUUGGCUCCUCUUUUGUCAGUAUAAGGAUUUGAUCUUUACUUAUUUGUGGUACUUGAACGCAUAUGUAAAUGUAAUUGUUCCCUGAUCUGAACAGUUACUAGUCCUAGUUAUUCAAGCUACCAUUGCUAUCAUUGGCAUGUAAACCAACCCUUCUGACUUUUGUUUGCAUGAGUUAUGAUUGCUGCUAUCGACUGUUGAUAUCCAUUGUCAGCAGCAUUUUUGUUACGUGACCUUUUCUUCACUUGCCUAGGCGUCAGGUCACCAUGCCUUGGUGGUCUAUCAAAAUUGUAAAUCAUACAGAUAAUCUCCUGUUAUUUGACGAUGCCAUGGUGAUCCAUCAAAAGCAAUCUUACCUUGAUAUAGGCAUAUGAAGUUUAAAAUUCAAUGACUUGAUGAGAUUUGAUAGCUCUAACAUUUCUACAAAGCAUUUGGUAUUAAUUCAAAAUAUCAUCAUGGUGUUUUUGGUUGAUGUUGCACAAUUUUUUAGAAAAAUUGUAAUUUACUGUAGAGAAAAACAAGUAAAUUGAUCUAUUAAAAGAAAUAAGCUGUAUUCACUUUAAACAUGCCCUGAUUAUUACUGGUUCCUUUGUAUCUCCUGUGAGAAGAGAAGAUUGGCCCAAUGCUAUGCUAUAUGAAGCAUUAUAAACUGGUUUCAUUUGCAUGAAGUUUUAAACUUAAAUAACACAAGGAUGUGUGUAUUAUCAUUUGCCUGACCUAAUUUCCCAUCUUCUUUCUAUUUAAGUUUUCUUUUCUUAUAUCACCUGAGAAAUUAAGGAGAAAAUUUUCCGCCUCGUGUGGUAAAAAGGUCCCUUCUUUUUGGAAAAGAAAUUCUCUUGGGUUAAAGGAGAUGUUAUCUGUGAUUUUUGUGUUGGUCCAUAUUGAUCUCUCAGUCAUGCACUAAAAAAAGCUGGCUAUGAUAGGAUAUAAUGAAGAGGCAUAAACAAAAUUUUUACAAUUGCUUUUUUAAUUCUGCCCAUUUGAUGUUGGUAUUUUGUUUCAAUUAUUCAUUAGGCAAAAGUUCUUCAGCCUUUAGGGGCUAUCACUAAUGGCAGUCAGUUCUUGGAACCAGAUGGUAAUUUGAAAUUUCAAAAAUUCUUUAUGGUGUUUGAUAUAGGAACUUGUUAUUAAAAGGAUAUUUGAAAACAGGUUUGUUUCCUAAUCAUAUUCCCAACCCGGAGGACAAGGUAGCAAUGAAAGCUAUCACCCAAGCAGUCCUUCAAAACAAGGCUGAUCUGGGGAUCAUAUUUGAUACUGAUGUUGACAGAUCUGCUGCUGUGGAUUCUACUGGUCGUGAGUUCAACCGGAAUCGUCUUAUUGCUUUAAUGUCUGCAAUAGUUCUGGAGGAACAUCCAGGAACAACUAUUGUUACAGACAGUGUGACUUCAGAUGGCCUGACUACAUUUAUUGAAAAGAAACUUGGGGGAAAGCACCAUCGGUUCAAGAGAGGCUAUAAAAAUGUCAUUGAUGAAGCUAUUCGUUUGAACUCGAUUGGUGAGGAGUCACAUCUAGCUAUUGAAACAAGCGGGCAUGGAGCUCUCAAGGAAAAUCACUGGCUGGAUGAUGGUGCUUACCUCAUGGUCAAACUUUUGAAUAAACUGGCUUCAGCCAGAGCAUCAGGAGUUGGUGGUGGCAGCAAAGUGUUGACCAAUCUGGUAGAGGGUCUACAGGAACCAGCAGUUGCUGUAGAAUUGAGACUUAAAAUCAUUCAGAAUCAUCCAGAUCUUAAAGGAGGAUCUUUCCGGGAAUAUGGAGAGGCUGUGCUAAAACACUUGGAGAACUCCGUGGAUUUAGACCCAAAGCUUCAGAAAGCUCUUGUCAACUAUGAAGGGGUUCGAGCUUCUGGUUAUGGUGGGUGGUUCCUUCUUAGACUCUCGCUUCAUGAUCCUGUUCUUCCCCUUAACAUUGAGGCACCUAGCAAUGAUGAUGCUGUGAAACUUGGACUUUCUGUUGCUUCUGCUGUGAAGGAGUUUGCUGCUCUGGAUACAUCUGCCUUGGACAAAUUUAUCCAACCAUGAUAAGUGCAAGCCUGUUCGUUUUCAGCACGUCUGCUGCAGUUGGUAACUUGAGAAAGUUCGUCUUGUCAGCUCUUGGUUUGCCUCUGGUGCUAUAAUACACAAUGUGAAUGUUCCAGGUUUAAAAUUACAUAGAUAGGAAUAAUACAGGGAAGAAUGUCGUAAUCACGAGAUCAAUGUCAUCUUAAUCCAUAAUAAAACAUUGCAUUUUUGGUUAAGCAUGAAGAUGCAAGAGUUUGUUGAGGUUUAUUUAGUCCGUGAGCCAAUGCAUUUCAUCUGCACAAAGAGGUUAUCUUUCACAUUGAUAUGAACUAUUAUCCUUGUGUGAGAUCCUAGUUUAUCUGUGGAUGCUAUGUUUGAGAUCCCAAAAUGCUUUGCAUGGGAAAUGGGAAAUGCUCAGUGUAUGCUUUAUUUAUUAUCAAAUUAAGAUAAAUUGUAGUUUAAUCCUUGGGGUUUGAACUUAAUAACAAAUGAGGA